rnacentral:lncRNA from 1 species
CUAAAAAAAGGACAAAAAAACCGAUUCUCAUAAGGUCUAACAACCUGUUCACCAGUACAAAUUCGUUUGAGUACUACGUUUUAUGAUAUGAUUCAACAUAGGAUGUAGAUUCUGUACCACGUAAUUGCAUAUCGACAAUGUCUUAUCUUGGAAGUCUCUCUCACUUUGUGAAUUAGCUGAUGCAAUAAAAGGACUAGGGCUUCCAUCUGGAUGAGCCAUCUGGAUGGAGAUGAGAGCUUUGUUCGUUUAGACACUUUCGGAAAUUUAGGCUUAAUUUUAAAGUCCAUUCAGCUGAACCAGUUUGGACCAUUUAGAAGGAGAUGGUUCAUUCAAUAUGGUAUAAUGUCUAUUAUGUCCUUCAUGUAAUUCACAAAUUAUAAACCUAAACAUAAAAUCAUUUUGUCACACACGAAAACUGACAAAACCACAAAAAUGCAUUUUUCCGCAAAAACUUAAAAACGAAAUUUUCACGCCAAAACCCUAAAAUCGCAUUUUCAGACAAAAUUGCAAAAACGUGUUUUCCCGCCAAAAUUGCAAAACGUGUUUUCCCGCAAAAACGUGUUUUCAUGCCAAAAUCACAAAAACGCGUUUUCACGCCAAAAUCCCAAAACACAUUUUUCCGCCAAAACACAAAAACAUGUUUUCCCGCCAAAACCACAAAACGUGUUUUCCCACCAAAAUCGAAAAUGCGUUGUUUUCUCAUCAAAAUGCAUUUCCAGCUAAAACUGCAAAACGCGUU